UGACUAAGUCCCCAUCUGUCCUUCAAGGUGUCGGGUCUCCAAGAGUCUCCCGGGCAUCCAGCCCUGAAUGUCGCCAACAGUCAUCUCCGCUGCUGAGAACUAAGGCCCCGCUGGCGCGGCCUAGGAUGAGCGCUCAGGAGCAGCUGGAGCGCAUGCGUAGAAACCAAGCAUGUGGGCUCUCUCUUCCUCGCCCUACCUCCCCAAGGCUCCUGACCCUGGGAAGGACACUAUCCCCAGUUCCACGCCAGCCUGACAUGGAGCAGAGGCCUAUUGUAGGAGCUGCGAAAUGGCUCAGGAGUUCCGGGUCAUGGAGUAGCCUCUCCAGAGAGAAAUUUGGACACCAGGGGAGACUGUCUCCAGCCAAGUCCACAGCCUCCCAGUGAAGAGCUGCCCCAGGUCACCUCGUCCCCAACUUCUCACAAGGCUAACUCGGCUACCACAGGGUUCUCAUGCCAAGGGAGUGGGAGAGGCCUGGCUCCGUGGGAGCCCAGGUGGGACCCUGGGAAGGCCCCUCCAGCUCUGGCCCAGGAAGAGGGGGCAUGGCCCCUGAGAGUCACUCUGCUGCAGUCCAGCUUUUGACUCCUGCCUUUGCACUGGGUGCUAAAGGCUGGAAGCACAACCUUGAGGUGUGGGACCAUUCAGGACCACAGGGGAGAGGUUCAUUUCAGCCUGUGUUCUAGGAGGGCCGGGGCUAUGAUGGUCAAAGAUUGAUUAUCCCAACACUGUCCGAACUUGGAUUAAAACUUUGAACUAGUCAAUAAAUAGCUUUAUUCUCUC
rnacentral:lncRNA from 1 species